rnacentral:rRNA from 1 species
AGUCAAUAGAUACCCAGGUAGUCCACGCCCUAAACGAUGUCGACUGGUUGUUGGGGGGUAACUUCUCAGUAAACGAAAGCUAAACGCGUGAAAGUCGACCGCCUGGGGAGUACGGUCGCAAGAUUAAAACUCAAAGGAAUUGACGGGGACCCGCACAAGCGGUGGAUGAUGUGGUUUAAUUCGAUGCAACGCGAAAAACCUUACCUACACUUGACAUGCCAGAAAUCCUGCAGAGAUGUGGGAGUGCCGCAAGGAAUCUGGGCACAGGUGCUGCAUGGCUGUCGUCAGCUCGUGUCGUGAGAUGUUGGGUUAAGUCCCGCAACGAGCGCAACCCUUGUCACUAGUUGCUACAUUUGGUUGGGCACUCUAGUGAGACUGCCGGUGACAAACCGGAGGAAGGUGGGGAUGACGUCAAGUCCUCAUGGCCCUUAUGUGUAGGGCUACACACGUCAUACAAUGGUCGGUACAGAGGGUAGCCAACCCGCGAGGGGAGCCAAUCUCAGAAAGCCGAUCGUAGUCCGGAUCGCAGUCU